rnacentral:rRNA from 1 species
CCUACGGGUGGCAGCAGUGGGGAAUAUUGGGCAAUGGGCGCAAGCCUGACCCAGCAACGCCGCGUGAAGGAAGAAGGCUUUCGGGUUGUAAACUUCUUUUAAGAGGGAAGAGCAGAAGACGGUACCUCUUGAAUAAGCCACGGCUAACUACGUGCCAGCAGCCGCGGUAAUACGUAGGUGGCAAGCGUUGUCCGGAUUUACUGGGUGUAAAGGGCGUGCAGCCGGGAAGACAAGUCAGAUGGUAAAUCCCCGGGCCCAACCGCGGAACUGCAUUUGAAACUGGUUGUCUUGAGUAUCGGAGAGGUCAGCGGAAUGCGCUGUGUAGCGGUGAAAUGCGUAGAUAUAAGGAAGAACACCAGUGGCGAAGGCGGAAGACUGGACGGCAACUGACGGUGAGGCGCGAAAGCGUGGGGAGCAAACAGGAUUAGAUACCCCUGUAGUC